GGAUGUGAGGGUGAUCUGGCUGCAACAUCUGUGACCCAAUUGAUCACCAGGGUUGGUUCAGCUGAUCUGGCUGAGUAGGUGGGUGUCCCCUUCCUCCCUCACCACUCCACGUGCAUCCCUCCCAAAGCUGUGCACUCAGUCAAAGAGGACGACCACUCCUGUUAGAGGAGGACCAUUCUUUGGUCAAGGGUACAGGAGUAGCCGUGCUCCCUUGCUAGGACCUCCAAACAAGCUCUCAAAUAUAACCAGAGCAAAAAUGGACUGGAAGUGCGACUCAAGCAGUAGAGCGCCUGCU
rnacentral:snRNA from 1 species